ACCCGCUGAACUUAAGCAUAUCAAUAAGGGGAGGAAAAGAAACCAACAGGGAUUGCCUCAGUAACGGCGAGUGAAGCGGCAAAAGCUCAAAUUUGAAAUCUGGCGUCUUCGGCGUCCGAGUUGUAAUUUGUAGAGGUAGCUUUGGGUGUACAGCCAGGUCUAUGUUCCUUGGAACAGGACGUCAUGGAGGGUGAGAAUCCCGUAAAUGGCUUGGCCAGUGCCUAUGUAUAGCGCCUUCGACGAGUCGAGUUGUUUGGGAAUGCAGCUCUAAGUGGGUGGUAAAUUCCAUCUAAAGCUAAAUACUGGCGAGAGACCGAUAGCGCACAAGUAGAGUGAUCGAAAGGUGAAAAGCACUCCGGAAGGAGAGUUAAACAGCACGUGAAAUUGUUGAAAGGGAAGCGCUUGAGACCAGACUCAGGUAAAGUUGAUCAACCUCCACUCUUGGUGGUGCACUCUUCUUUGCCCGGGCCAGCAACAGUUUUGGCGGUGGUAUAAAGGUUUAGGGAAUGUGGCUCUCUUCGGGGAGUGUUAUAGCCCUAUUCGUAAUGCUGCCUGUCGAGACUGAGGACCGCGCUUCGGCUAGGUUGUUGGCAUAAUGGUCUU
rnacentral:rRNA from 1 species